rnacentral:misc_RNA from 1 species
AAUAUGCUCAACUUUUCUUGCUUGUGCAAUUGAUAAUCUAUGAUGCAGCUAACCAAUCUGCAUCUAUCUUCUCUUAACUUUUUCUCAGUUGACUCCAUUUCCACCUUAUUAUAAAUGCAGCCAUUCCUUACCUGGUUCAACCUAAUGUUUCUGCACAUUCAUUUUUAGCAUUCUCAUUUCUGCUAUAUGAAGUCUUGCAUAAAUGUUUAUUCUCUGCCCAAUAUUUGCUGCCAUACAUUAUAUUUGGUUGGAUUGUUGAUCUAUAAAAUAUCUCUUUCAACUUGGCUGGUAUUUUGUGAUUUCCUGGGACUUUGUCUCACUUCUCCACUUUAACCAUUUGUUUUAAUUUUAUGGUUGACAUCCUCCACACUUCCACCAUUCGUUGGAAAGACAUAGCCUAGAUAUCUGAAACCAAGUGUUAUUUAUAUUGAAG